GGUACUUGAUGCCUCUUGGUCAGAAGAUGAUGGCGAGUUCCUCAUUCCAAUUGAGUUUAUAUUGUGUAGGUUUCUUCGUCAUGAUCUGGAUUGCCGCAGUCAUGUUCAAGUCCAAUGAUAUCUUGCACAAGCAGACCGCUCUCAAGAUACAACGGUCCGGCAAGCUGCUAUGGUGGUCAAGUGUGUGCUGCCUAGGAAAAUAGAUAUUUAGUUUUAGGCCAUUUCUUGUAAUUUCCGAUAUGGAGUGCUUGUCUUUAGUUUUUGUUUUUACUUUGUGAAACUUGCUACCUAUGGAUGAAACUGUGUAAUAUUGAUGAAACUAUGUA